GAACAUACCUUCUGUUGCCUCGGCAGGCCCUGGCCUACCCUGUAGCGCCCUUACAUCGUAGGGGCUGCUUUAGGGGGAGCGCUAGGGGAACCUGCCGGCGGCCUGCAAAACUCUGUUUAGCAUUAAAUUCUGAACAUAUAACUAAAUAAGUUAAAACUUUCAACAACGGAUCUCUUGGUUCUGGCAUCGAUGAAGAACGCAGCGAAAUGCGAUAAGUAAUGUGAAUUGCAGAAUUCAGUGAAUCAUCGAAUCUUUGAACGCACAUUGCGCCCAUUAGUAUUCUAGUGGGCAUGCCUGUUCGAGCGUCAUUUCAACCCUUAAGCCCCUGUUGCUUAGCGUUGGGAGCCUACGGCAGCGUAGCUCCCCAAAGUUAGUGGCGUGGUCGGUUCACACUCCAGACGUAGUAGAUUUUCACCUCGCCUGUAGCUGGACCGGUCCCCUGCCGUAAAACACCCUAAUUUUUAAAGGUUGACCUCGGAUCAGGUAGGAAUACCCGCUGAACUUAAGCAUAUCAAUAAGCGGAGGAAAAGAAACCAACAGGGAUUGCCCCAGUAACGGCGAGUGAAGCGGCAACAGCUCAAAUUUGAAAUCUGGCCCUCGGGUCCGAGUUGUAAUUUGUAGAGGAUGCUUUUGGCGCGGUGCCUUCCGAGUUCCCUGGAACGGGACGCCUUAGAGGGUGAGAGCCCCGUACGGUUGGACACCAAGCCUCUGUAAAGCUCCUUCGACGAGUCGAGUAGUUUGGGAAUGCUGCUCUAAAUGGGAGGUAAAUUUCUUCUAAAGCUAAAUAUUGGCCAGAGACCGAUAGCGCACAAGUAGAGUGAUCGAAAGAUGAAAAGCACUUUGAAAAGAGGGUUAAAUAGCACGUGAAAUUGUUGAAAGGGAAGCGUUUGCGACCAGACCUUUUCCUAGCGGAUCAUCCGGUGUUCUCACCGGUGCACUUCGCUAGGUUUAGGCCAGCAUCGGUUUCUAUAGGGGGAUAAAAGCUCUGGGAACGUAGCUCCUCCGGGAGUGUUAU
rnacentral:misc_RNA from 1 species